ensembl:lncRNA
CCCCGCCUCCCAGGACUCCCCGGGGUCUCCUCAGGCCCCGCCUCCCAGGAGGCCCUGGCGCCUCCCCAGGCCCCGCCCCCAGGGCUCUCUGGGGUCUCCCUGGCCCCGCCCCCUCGUGUGCGGGUUGGGUUGGGAAGUGAUGGCUCUUCUUGGCUGGAAGCUGCGGUCCUCUAGACGGGCAGGGGAUUGAAAUGGCAUCUGCCCCUCUUUGUUGAGCGUUUCUGGAGCCUGGAGAUUUCCUGCUGCGCUGUCUCUUUCGCAGUCCCCAGUCCUGGGUGGGUACAACAUGGAAAUUACUUUCUGAAAGGAAAAGAAAAUUGACACCCGCAGUGAGCAUGUCAGCUCUGCCCGAGCGCCGGGCCGGGCUUGUGGGUCUGGUGGCUGCUCAGAUGCUAAUAUUUUUUAAUGUCAAGUCGUACCACCUAGAAAAAAAUCUAUUUUCUUCUACGUCCUUGGACUUAACCUGGACUGCUGCACUGAUAUGGGAAACCUGCUCUUCAGAGAAAUCUGAAUCUAUUUAAGUGUGAUGGAAAAUCUUGCGAGCCGCCUGUAAUACAUUGUGGGAAAAUGAGUGCGCUGGCCGUCAGAAAGUGGUCCCUGUGAUACGCGGCCUGUUGGAAGCGCAUGGCGACGAUCAAUGAUCGGGGUCAGAGCCGAGAGCUGCGGGAGGAGGGGCCGAGAGCCGGCCCCGCGGCCCGUGGGAGGGCGCCCUGCCCUCCUGGGCGCUGCGGCUCCUCCGCUGGGAGCUGCCGACUCCUUGUCUAUCUCCUUCAAGGAGCCUGUGUGGCAGUGAUCAAGCCUAGACUCUGGAGACACCUGCACAAUUGUUUGGAAACCAUAGGACACUGAUCAGCCGUGACCCCGGGGUCCCCAGGCUCCUGGUGUGGCUUGACCUCCGUCUCUGGCCUCAGGCCUGGGCCCGGCUGGGAUGAGAGCUGAGCCUGCCUCCGCAGGUAUCUUCCAGGGGCAGUCGAGUCUGGCUUUUAUUUUAGCUUCUCUGUGUUAUUUAAUGUGUGUGGAGAACCUCACACUGUGAACCACGACUUCACCAGGACUGAGUGGACACGGGGCUGUGAGGUUGUCCUGGUGGACCCGGAUCCUGCCUCUGCUGGACAGCUCAGCAUCCCACCCAAACUGCCCCUGCAAUUCCUGCCUCCACACCCCACAUGGGCCAGCACUCAGGAUCAGCUCCAGACCCUGCUUCCUGCUUAGCACCACCCGCCCUCUUCCUGUUGAAAGAGGGUCCUCCCCCAGUACCUCACUGUUUUUUUAAAUGUAACAUAACACCGUGUUUUAUUUUCAUUGUUCUCAUCUUUAGAACUGCUUUCUUGCAGCAGUGAUGCUGGUUCUCAUUAACAAUAGUGGUAUGCCCUUUUCCUGUAGUACUAGUUUAUUCAAUUAAAAAGAGACUUGGAAGACAUCGUGCACACAGCAGCCCAGGGGGUGGGUGAGAGACCUGAGGAGCAGGGUCCACGGGUUUAUUCUGUUUGUUCUAAACACCCACCUGGAGUCUCCCGCGUGCCCGGUCAGUGUGCCGUGACCACAGGCCCCUCUGUGGGCUUCAGUCUCUGCAUUCGUAGAAUGGAGAGGUUGGAUGCGAUGGCCGCUUGGGCCUUUAUCUGCUCCAGAGUCCCAUGA